rnacentral:rRNA from 1 species
AUGCAUGCAAGUCGAGCGAAGCUUUUCAGUAGUUUACUACAGAAAAUGACUGAGCGGCGAACGGGUGAGUAACGCGUGAGCAACCUACCUUAGUUACUGGGAUAGCCCGAGGAAACUCGGAUUAAUACCGGAUAUUCUUAUUUAAUCACAUGAUUUUUUAAGGAAAGGUCAGCCGAACUAAGAUGGGCUCGCGUUCUAUCAGCUAGUUGGUAGGGUAAUGGCCUACCAAGGCUACGACGGAUAGCUGGUCUGAGAGGACGAUCAGCCACACUGGGACUGAGACACGGCCCAGACUCCUACGGGAGGCUGCAGCAGGGAAUAUUGCGCAAUGAGCGAAAGCUUGACGCAGCGACACCGCGUGUGGGAUGACGGAUCUAGGUUUGUAAACCACUUUCAGGAGGGAAGAAAAUGACGGUACCUCCACAAGAAGCCCCGGCCAACUACGUGCCAGCAGCCGCGGUAAUACGUAGGGGGCGAGCGUUGUCCGGAUUUAUUGGGCGUAAAGAGCUCGUAGGCGGUUCAACAAGUCGGUCGUGAAAGUUCAGGGCUCAACCCUGAAAUGUCGAUCGAUACUGUUGUGACUAGGAUACGGUAGAGGUGAGUGGAAUUCCGAGUGUAGCGGUGAAAUGCGUAGAUAUUCGGAGGAACACCAAUUGCGAAGGCAGCUCACUGGGCCGCUAUCGACGCUGAGGAGCGAAAGCUAGGGGAGCAAACAGGAUUAGAUACCCUGGUAGUCCUAGCUGUAAACGAUGGAUACUAGACGUAGGAAUUGGAUUAACGAUUUCUGUGUCGUAGCUAACGCGUUAAGUAUCCCGCCUGGGGAGUACGGU